AUACGGAGGGUGCAAGCGUUAAUCGGAAUUACUGGGCAUAAAGCGCUCGUAGGCGGCUUGUUAAGUCGGAUGUGAAAGCCCCGGGCUCAACCUGGGAACUGCAUUCGAUACUGGCAGGCUAGAGUAUAGUAGAGGCAAGUGGAAUUCCGGGUGUAGCGGUGAAAUGCGUAGAUAUCCGGAGGAACAUCAGUGGCGAAGGCGACUUGCUGGACUAAUACUGACGCUGAGGAGCGAAAGCGUGGGGAGCAAACGGGAUUAGAAACCCCUGUAGUCC
rnacentral:rRNA from 1 species